CCUCAGAGGUCUGGCUGGCCGAGCCCAGCGCAGCCACCUCAGCGCAGGGAGGUGAGUUCUCCCUCCUCUGACAGGGAUUUACAAGGUGUUGGAACAGGUAAUUAGCCUCCAGACCUGCAGGAAAGCCUCCUGGUCAUCCUGCUGCAGCACGGGCAGUGAGCUGGAGGGUUGGUUUUUGGAUGGCUGAUUUACUCUGAACAAAGGCCCCAAACAGCACUGAGUAGCCGACUGGAGGAUGGUAACUUUAGAGCCAAUGGGCUCCUUUCCCAUCAGUUUAAAACACUGUUAUUUUUUUUCCAGGCUGAUAACAUUUUAAACAUACUGCAAGCCAGGGUUUUCCUGGGAGGCAGGGAACCCCCUGUGUUUGCUAGAAAAGAGGCUUCUGUGGGUACAUAAACCCAUCCUGUGAACUCACCUGUUGCCAGCCAAGGAGAAAUGUUUGGUGUUUCAUUUCAAUCAAGAAUUUGCCAUAUAUCUGGUGUUUUAUCUAACCUCACUCUUUGGAAGAUCUGAUGUUAUGCUUGGCAGAGCCCUCAAGCCCAAGCUGCUGUAUUACACUGUGCUGCAAGUUUCAGCUUUUUAGGCUGGUGGUGUUGUGAGAAUAAGCAUGGUCUGAAAUCCUCACAGAACGGGCAAGGUGCAUUUGAUGUGGCUCAAAUGAAUCUUGACUUUUUUAGUCAGGAGUUUCUGUAAGCCCUUGAAUCUGUUGUGAGAAAUCCAACAUUUUUCAAGCAGUGACUUUGAAAUGUACAGCUACGAGGAGAUCUUUUUUUUUGUCUUCACGAGCAACUGGAUCACCUGCACACCCUCCUCUGCAGGUGUGGAAACCCCACAAGCUCUGUGCUAACAGUUAACACCUGAGGAUCGUUAAUGCCAUUAGUAUAAAUCCUUGCCACAUGGGUAGUGUUGCCCUCUAUCAAUGCAGUGCAGCUAUCCCACUUGAGCACUCCAGUUGCAUCAGGUGAAGCCUGUGGUCAGAGGCUGCAAGUGAUUCAAGAGAAUUAACCUGUAUGGAAAUGAAAAAAGAAAAAGUUAAUGCAGAAAACUACCAGAUAUGCAUCCUGCCUCUCUUAUUAGAAGACAUUUGGAAAUUAUUUGCUCCUGACCCUUAUUUGAAUUUCAUUUACAUGGACAAAAUGUUGCAGUGGUGCGUCCUUAGUGUGAAGAGGCUCAAAUAAUGGCAACACUGUUCAUCAAACUGGACCAUCAAGGAGAAACUGAUGAGAAGUGGAGAGAUGGUCUGGCACAGCUAGCUGAAGUUUGAUCAACCCUGUGAGCGCAGGCUGCAAACCCAGAUUUGAAGUGAAGCAGAGCUGAGCGCAAGCAGGGAGAAGCCCAGAUGAUGAGAGAGAGCACCCUACAGGCUCUGCUGUUCAGUUCAUACCAGUCUCUGUCUUCCGGCUAUGGCUGUUCAAAGGUUACAUCAACUCAGGAGGUUUCAGAUUUUCCUUAUUCCCAUCAGGUCUCUCUGCAGAGAGAGAGGUCGCUACUCAGGGAGGCACUUUCCUCCUUGGAAACAAGAAAAGAAAUCACCGGGAAGGAGAGGAAAAUGCAUCUGGGUAACAGGAGGGGAUCUUGUCAAUCUUCAAGCCACUAGAAAAUGAUCAUGAAAGUCUUUUGUUAGAGAAGCCUAUAAUGGUACUAUUGCUUGUCUAUUGUGGCCACUAACAGCAAAUAGCCUGCAAGGGCAGGGGAGAUGUAGGAUUAGACAAAUUGUGAAGAGGGGCUCUGGAUGCUUGAAAAGUGCAUUCCUGCUCGUCAAGGUCAGAAGGGUCAAAAUAGUGUCAUCAUUCAUCCUCGAUGGAAGUAUUUCUAUAUACAAAUUGACCUUUAAAAACACCCAUGGCAUAUAUGGAAUAAUGCUAAUGAUGUACUGUCGGAUUUCUUCCACAAGUGGAAACAGAAAAGCAGUUGUAAUUCACUUAUGUUGAGCUGGAGACUAUGUUGUACAGUACUACUUCCACUGCUAGAAAAUGCAGCCAUCCUGAAUGUUUAAAAUUUAUUGUUUCUUUUAAGAGAGUUCAAUUAGUGUCAUAAUUUUUGGUGCAUUUUAAGAAUAUGCCUAGUUAGUAAAUCUUUUUCUCAGAAGGCUUGUCAUUAUCUGCACAUGUAUUUCUAGGAAUAGCAUUUGGUUGAAGCUAUGUUUAUCCAUUGAAAGCAAGAAAAAGGCUGGGUUGGAUCUUUCCUCAAGGAAGGAGAACCGAGUACCGGCUUACUUGUCCUCAGUUGUGCUUUUGAGCAGGGAUCCUCGCCCAGUUCAUCAUCUGACUUCAAUUCUUAGUGGGUCUAUUGCUUAAGUAAUUUAAUCAAGUUUGCUCAUUAAAUUGCUCUUCUAUAAUGUGCUUGCAGUGCCUGAAAAGAGCUUCGAGAAGACAAUGAUAGACAUAGGUGUUAUACUGAAUGGCAGCUGCUAAAUCCGUGUGGUGAUAAAUGUCUGUGAAGUAACUUCAUAUGGCACGACAAGUUGAACAUUUAUUUCAGGCUUUAAUUAAAAGUUCCCUCACUAAAAAUUUCAGAAGCACUAAAGCUACCAACUAUUUUGAAUUAUUCUCCCUUUAUGUGCAAUUAGGGGCAUGUUUUCUCCACCAUGCACAUUAUUAGUUCACAAACUCACAGUGCAUAACAGAGGAGAAAACUACCCUUGACAGUGGCUGUCUACUCUGCAAAGUAGUAUUGUUUCAAAAUGCCUGAAUAAAAGCACAUUAGCA